rnacentral:rRNA from 1 species
UGGAGGUGCCAUACCCGUUCCCGUUCCGAACACGGAAGUCAAGCCCCCUAACGCCGAUGAUACCGCGCCCCAAAGACGCGGGAAAGCAGGUAGCCGCCGGGC